GAUGAACGCUGGCGGCGUGCCUAAUACAUGCAAGUCGAGCGAAUGGAUUAAGAGCUUGCUCUUAUGAAGUUAGCGGCGGACGGGUGAGUAACACGUGGGUAACCUGCCCAUAAGACUGGGAUAACUCCGGGAAACCGGGGCUAAUACCGGAUAACAUUUUGCACCGCAUGGUUCGAAAUUGAAAGGCGGCGUCGGCUGUCACUUAUGGAUGGACCAGGGUCGCAUUAGCUAGUUGGUGAGGUAACGGCGCACCAAGGCAACGAUGCGUAGCCGACCUGAGAGGGGGAUCGGCCACACUGGGACUGAGACACGGCCCAGACUCCUACGGGAGGCAGCAGUAGGGAAUCUUCCGCAAUGGACGAAAGUCUGACGGAGCAACGCCGCGUGAGUGAUGAAGGCUUUCGGGUCGUAAAACUCUGUUGUUAGGGAAGAACAAGUGCUAGUUGAAUAAGCUGGCACCUUGACGGUACCUAACCAGAAAGCCACGGCUAACUACGUGCCAGCCGCCGCCGUAA
rnacentral:rRNA from 1 species